rnacentral:rRNA from 1 species
CAAUAGCGUAUAUUAAAGUUGUUGCAGUUAAAAAGCUCGUAGUUGGAUUUCUGGUCGGAAGCUCCUGUCCUCUGAUGAGCGUACAAGUGCGUCCUACCAUCCUUCUGUUAACCUUUAAGGCUUACGCGGCUUUCUAGGGGCUCAGAUAUUUUACCUUGAGAAAAUUAGAGUGUUUCAGGCAGGCUAGCGCCGGAAUACAUUAGCAUGGAAUAAUGGAAUAGGACUUUUGCCUCUUCUGUUGGUCAUGAGGCUCGAGUAAUGAUUAAUAGGGAUAGUUGGGGGCAUUAGUACUUAACUGUCAGAGGUGAAAUUCUCGGAUUUGUUAAAGACUAACUUAUGCGAAAGCAUUUGCCAAGGAUGUUUNCAUUAA